GUCUUAUUGAAAAUAAUUUUAAGUCCNAUCUGCUCAAUGAAUAAAUUUAAAUAGCUGCAGUAUAAAUAACUGUACAAAGGUAGCAUAAUAAUUUGUUUUUUAAUUGAAAACUAGAAUGAAUGAUUUAAUGAAAUAUAAACUGUAUCAAAUUUAAAUAAUAAAUUUAUUAUUUAAAUAAAAAAAUUUAAAUAAUUUUUAAAGACGAGAAGACCCUAUAGAAUUUUAAUAAUAAUUUAUUUAAAUUUAAAUAAAUUAUUAUAUUAAUUGGGGAAAUUUUAAAAUUUUAAAAAUUUUUAAUUAAAAAAACAUAUAUUUUUGAAUAUUUAUUAUUUUUUAAAAAAAUAAAUUUAAUUACCUUAGGGAUAACAGCAUAAUUUUUUUAAAAAGUUCAAAUUUAUAAAAAAGUUUAU
rnacentral:rRNA from 1 species